GCCGGGAAUGUCAAGCUUCUCCGGCUCCGGCCGGGCGGGAGGAUCGCUGCGCCGACGCCUCUGGGUUCGUGGAACCAACGAAAGGAGGUGGGACAGUGCUUUCAUGGGGGUAAACGCGGAUGGCCAUGCCCAUGCAGGGCGUGUUUCUCCUUCUCGUUUUGCGAAAAGAAAUGCAGAAAUUUGUCGGUGAUGUCUGCUAAAUGCUAAUUUCGUUCAGGGAGGAGGGGAGUUUGCGUGCUUACCGCCGUGGGACUUCUCGGAGGCGAAGUCACGGAUGAUGGAGAGGAGCUGCUUCGGGGUCUCGCUGCCCGCCGCCGACGCCGGCGCAGCCAUCGGCUCAGGGGAAG
rnacentral:lncRNA from 1 species